rnacentral:tRNA from 1 species
GCGCAAGUAUGAUCACUGGUGUGAUCAGUGUCCUUUAUCUGCUUUAAAUCAAUGUGUAGUAACCGAUUGGUCCUGGGUUCGAGUCCCAGUCUGCGUACCA